AACGAACGCUGGCGGCAGGCCUAACACAUGCAAGUCGAACGAGAAGCCACCUUCGGGUGGUGGAAAGUGGCAGACGGGUGAGUAACGCGUGGGAACGUGCCUUUCGGUUCGGGAUAACCCAGGGAAACUUGGGCUAAUACCGGAUACGCCCUCCGGGGGAAAGAUUCAUUGCCGAAAGAUCGGCCCGCGUCGGAUUAGCUAGUUGGUAGGGUAAUGGCCUACCAAGGCGACGAUCCGUAGCUGGUCUGAGAGGAUGACCAGCCACACUGGGACUGAGACACGGCCCAGACUCCUACGGGAGGCAGCAGUGGGGAAUAUUGGACAAUGGGCGAAAGCCUGAUCCAGCCAUGCCGCGUGGGUGAAGAAGGCCUUAGGGUUGUAAACCCCUUUCAGCGGGGAAGAUAAUGACGGUACCCGCAGAAGAAGUCCCGGCUAACUCCGUGCCAGCCGCCGCAGUAAUAC
rnacentral:rRNA from 1 species